AAGCCUUCAGAGCCGCGGUCACACAACGCGAGGGAACACCUUGACAGAGCCAAGCUGGCGAAUGCAUAGAAAUGCGCGCGCACUUUGACAAAACACACAUUUAUAUUCCUUUGUGUUGCAUUUGAUAAUUCCUAUUUCUUCCCUUCCCACCCCUGAUUUAUUGGGAAUACGGGACCACGCGUGCCGCAAAAGCCCGCCGCCGCCAGCCCCCCCACUCCUCAAGACGGAGACCUAUAAUUGGAGAGGAGCCAAUGACGCGCUGAAAAUAACCAGGUUACCACUUAUCCGCUUUGGGGAGGGCCCAGCAGCACCAUAUAUCAGCUCCUCCUGUUCCAGCUGUUUGGGAAUAUCCUGCUCACCAGAUCCUCACUGCAGCUUGCAGCACCACCACCGCGUCUAAGCGUCCUCCUGCCCGGGUUGGAUCAUGCUAACGGGGGCAUGGGCGAGGGUGUGUGCACCCGGGAUCCCUCACAGGUGCUGGGGGCUUUUUAUUUUUUUAUUUUUUUAAGGGAGGAUGGAGGACUUUGUUGCUUGGUGGUGAAUAAAAGAUGCACAAGAAGCUUUGUCUACCCCUUACCAAAAAAAAAAGGAUGUUGGUUAAUUUGGAAUGUGAUCAGAUGUGACUUUUGGGGCGGCGGCAGUGGAUGGACAUGGAAGUUGGAACUUGCAGAUGACAUCUUGUGCAGGGAGCCAGACCAGCAGACUAGACUGUAAGGCUCCUGUGGAUGCUGCUGUAUGCCACCUGCAUGCAUGCCUGGGAUGGCUGCGUUAUGCAAUGAUGUCAUACUUCAUGGUGCUCGUCAUCAGAUACCGGAGAACCUUCUAGAGCCUCCUAAGGUCCGACACUUCUCUCCAAAAUGAACCUCAACAUGUGUUUUCAAGAGAAGAAGUGCACAAGAAGAGAAGUCCAACAACAACACACGCGUUGUCUGUAGCUGUUUAAAUAACAGUGGCUAUCUUUUUUUUUUUGCUUCCGACAUUUAGAAGACUGACACGUUUUAUUAAUUUGAUGUUUUCUUUUCAGUGGUUAUGUUAUUUUUGUGACAAGUGAAAAUGUGAAAAUGGUGAGGUGCAUUCACGACGUGACCGACUUUUACGCCAAGCCUCGUCAUUACUGUUUUAUUUACCUUUCACUAAUAACACUGUUUAACUUUGUCUUACGCUUGUUUGACAAUAAGAAUGUUUUGUGUUAUUAUUACAAUGUUUAAAUUAUUUGUAAACUUGUUUGACAAUAUGGAUGUUUUGUGUAUUAUCAUUAACAAUGAUUAACUUCUUUUUACAAUAUGGAUGUUUUUAUGUUUUAUUAAUUACAAUUUAUGAAUGUUUUUGUGUUAUUGUUAACACUGUUUAACUUAUGUUUACACUUGUGUAACAAUAUGAAUGUAUUAUGCUUAAUUAAUGUUUACUUACUUUUUAUGUUUUAUUAUUAACAAUUUAUGAAUGUUGUACAGUUUUUUAAUAACAAUGUACGAAUGUUUUUGUGUUAUUAAUGUUUAACCUUUUUUACACUUGUGUAACAAUAUGAAUUUGUUAUGCUUAAUUAUUAACACUGUUAAAGUUAUGUUUACACUUGUGUAACAAUGAAUGCAUUAUGCUUGAUUAUUAACAAUGUUUAACUUAUUUUUAUGUUUUAUUAAUAACAAUGUAUGAAUGUUUUAUAGAUUAUUAAUAACAAUGUACGAAUGUUUUUUAGUUAUUAUGAAUUUUUUUUACACUUGUGUAACAAUGAAUGUAUUAUGCUUAAUUAUUAACAAUGUUUAACUUAUUUUUUACGUUUUAUUAAUACCAAUUUAUGAACCCUUUUAUAGUUUAUUAAUAACAAUGUAUGAAUGUUUUGUGUUAUUAAUGUUUAACCUUUUUUACAUUUGUGUAACAAUAUGAAUGUAUCAUGCUUAAUUAAUGUUAACUUAUUUUUAUGUUGUAUUAAUAACAAUGUAUGAAUGUUUUAUAGUUUAUUAAUAACAAUGUAUGAAUGUUUUUGUGUUAUUAUUAAUGUUUAGCCUUUUUUACACCUGUGUAACAAUAUGAAUGUGUUAUCUUAAUUAUUAACACUGUUUAACUUAUGUUUUUGCAUGUGUGUAACAAUGAAUGCAUUAUGCUUAAUUAUUCAGUGUUUAACUGAUUUUUAUGUUUUAUUAAUAACAAUUUAUGAAUGUUUUAUAGUUUAUUAAUAACAAUGUACAAAUGUUUUUGUGUUAUUAAUGUUUAACCUUUUUUACACUUGUGUAAAAAUAUGAAUGUGUUAUGCUUCAUUAUUAACACUGUUUAACUUAUGUUUACACUUGUGUAACAAUGAAUGUUAUGCUUAAUUAUUAACAAUGUUUAACUUAUUUUUGUUUUAUUAAUAACGAGGUAUGAAUGUUUUAUUGUGUAUUGAUAACAAUGUAUGAAUGUUUUUGAGUUAUUAUUAAUGUUUAACCUUGGUACACUUGUGUAACAAUAUGAAUGUGUUAUGCUUGAUUAUUAACAAUGUUUAACUUAUUUUUAUGUUUUAUUAACAACAAUGUAUGAAUGUUUUAUAGUUUAUUAAUAACAAUGUACAAAUGUUUUUGUGUUAUUAAUGUUUAACCUUUUUUACACUUGUGUAACAAUAUGAAUGUGUUAUGCUUAAUUAUUAACACUGUUUAACUUAUGUUUACACUCGUGUAACAAUGAAUGCAUUAUGCUUAAUUAUUAAUGUUUAACUUAGUUUUUAUGUUUUAUUAAUAACAAUUUGUGAACCUUUUUAUAGUUUAUUAAUAACAAUGUAUCAAUGUUUUGUGUUAUCAUUAAUACUUAACAUUUUUUACACUUGUGUAACAAUAUAAAUGUAUUGUGCUUAAUUAUUAACAAUGUUUAACUUAUUUUUAAAGUUGUGUGACAAUGUGAAUGUUUUUGUUUUUGGUUGACAAUGUAUGAAUGUUUAUAUGUUUUAUUAGUAAUGUAUGAAUGUUUUUGUGUUUAUUUAAUAACAAUGUAUACAGGUUUGUUUUAACAAUGUUUAACUUUUUUUUACACUUGUGUGUCAAUGUGAAUGUUUUUGUGCUUAAUUAUUAACAAUGUUUAACUUCUUUUGAGGCUUGUAUAACAAUAUGAAUGUUUUUAUAUUUUACUAUCGACAGUGUUUAAUUUCUUUUUACACUUACGCUGUCAACCAGGGCCGUAACUUGGAUUUGACAAAUACCGAGGUCAAAAAUUGGUGUAUCCCAGUAGCACAUAAAUGAUAUUACCUUGAGCAACACAAUUAUAUUAUCUAACAUAUUUCACAAUCAGCAUGAUUUCACAACAUUUUUUUUAGCAACAUUCUGAAGUUUAGUGUAUUAAACAAUUUUAACAUCAUUCAAAUUUAAUUUAAAAACCUCGCUACAAUUUCAACUCCGACAAAUUACCUUCUGCUUUGAAACAUAAGUACUGAUGACGCAGACCACGAAAGCCACUAUCUUUUCCCAUAUUCUUAUUGUGACAGAGCAUGACGUGAACGGAGCACCUUGUCAUUAAAUAAUUUACAUUUGACAUGUGCUUCUUCACACGAAACCGGGUACCUGUUCUGCGUUUAGGGCUUGACUGACAUGACAACAUAAUUAUACCGACAGCGUUUCACAUCAAUUUCAUUCAGGUGAAACCAACAUUAGUGACGUCAGUAUCAUUUAUUGUUUACGUUAAGUUGACAGCAAAUUUCGGAUUGGAGUAAAAGUGGACUUCAUUGCGCUUCGUAGUUGAAGCUGUAGCUGUGCAUGACCAAAGAUCGUAUAUUGAGAGAAGAUGAGCUACCGCAUGGUGAUGUACAGCAAACACAAUGUCCGACAUAAAGUAUGUUCUCCUUCAGUCAUAUUAUCUUCUUUUUGUCACUUAAAAAAAAAAUCUGAGGACCUCAUUGUCCUCAAUGGUAGUUACGGCAUUGCUAAUAAUUGUGUUUAGCUUCUUUUUACACUUGUGACAAUACAAAUGUUUUUACGUUUCAUUAUCAACAGUGUUCAACUUCUUUUUUUUUUUUUUUUUUUUUUCCACAUUUCAUUAUUAACAGUUUAUUUUUACACUUGUGUGACGAUAUUAAUUUUUUAAAAAUCUCAUCAAUAAUUGUAAUUGUAUCUACCUGCGUGACAAUAUGUACGUUUUUACGUUAGACUAUUAACAUUGUUUAACCUCUUAUUUUAAGGCAGGGGUGUCAAACGUACGGCCCGCGAACAGGUUUUAUCCGGGUAUACUAAGUACAAAAAUCAACUUGACAUUUUUGAAUGAAAAAAAACAGCUGUUCUAAAUGUGUCCACUGGAUGUCGCAUUAGAAAUUCUUUGUAUCUUUGUAGAUGAUGCUACAUAUGUACAAAAUAAACCACAUGAUGUUAGUGCAUCAGUCAAGGAAAAUGUUCAAACUACAUAAACAACAUACUGUAAUUUGAUUUUGAUAUAAUUUUUUAAAUCUUGAUAUAUUGAAAAUUACCACCAAUGAGUUAACUGAUGAACAUUAUCAUUUAUACAGAAAACAUAAAGAACGACAAAUAAAGAUUGCAUGCAACAUGUAAGUGUAAAAAACAACGACAGCAUAAUGAUUUGUACAUUUUCAGAAUGUGCUUGUGCUAUUUUUAAACAAAGAAAACAAUCUGAAGUUGUCUUUAUCUUUAAGUUAUCGUGCCGUGAUUUUACCAGUUCGGCCCACUUGGGAAAAUAUUUUUCUCCAUGUGGCCCCCCAUCUAAAAUGAGUUUGACACCCCUGCUUUAAGGGAUAUACUAAGUGAGGUGCAUUCAUGACUUUACUAACUUUUGCAACAUUUUACCUUUAGUGUUCGAAUUAAUUCAAAUUUUUUUUGUAUGUAUAAUUUUCAGGGAUUAAUUAAUUUUUACUCUUACGGGAGUCAGAAAUGUUGCAAUGUGACAUCGACUGCGCCAUUAAUGCCAGUGUAAGGACUAUGGGACGGAUGGGGAAACAUUUUUUUUCCCCCACAUCCGUCCCAUACUGUAUGGGCACAGAUGUGGAAAAUGUUAACAGUAGUUAAUGUUAACAUUUUAAAAUAAAAAAUGUUAACAUUUUUAAUGUUAACAUGAAAAAUUUUAACAUUUUCAACAUUUUAGUUAUCUAACAUUACAAUAGUUACAAAACUAACUACAUUAGUUAAUGUAGUUACAUUACAUUAACUAAUGUAAUGUAACUACAUUAGUUACAUGUAAUGUAGUUACAUUACAUUAACUAAUGUAACUACAUUAGUUACAUGUAAUGUAGUUACAUUACAUUAACUAAUGUAACUACAUUAGUUACAUGUAAUGUAGCUGUUAAUAUACAGUUAAGUGUACAGUUAACUACAUUAACUGUAGUUAACUAGUUAAUGAACUAGUUAAUGAAGUUAACUACAUUACUGUAGUAAUGUAUUUACAAAAUUACUACAGUAAUGUAGUAACUACAGUUAAUGUAGUUACUAUAGUUAACUACUGAUGUAGUUGAUGUAGUUACUGUAGUUAACUACAUUGCUGUAGUUAACUACAGUAAUGUAGUUAACUACAGUAACUACAUUACUAUAGUUAACUACAGUAAUGUAGUAAACUACAGUAACUACAUUACCAUAGUUAACUACAGUAAUGUAGUAAACUACAGUAACUACAUUACCAUAGUUAACUACAGUAACUACACUACAGUUGUUACCUACAGUGAUGUAGUUAACUACAUUACUGUAGUUAAUGUAGUUAACUACAGCACAUUACUGUAGUUAAUGUAGUUAACUACAGCAAUGUAAACUACAUCACUGUAGGUAACUACUGUAAUGUAGUUACUGUAGUUAACUAUAGUAAUGUAGUUACUGUAGUUAACUAUAGUUAUGUAGGUACUGUAGUUAACUACAUUACUAUAGUUAACUACAGUAAUGUAGUUAACUACAGUAACUAUGUCACUGUAGUUAUUGUUGUUAACUACAGUAACUACAUUACUGUAGUUAACUACAGUAAUGUAGGUAACUACAGUACCUACAUUACUAUAGUUAACUACAGUAAUGUAGUUAACUACAGUAAUGUAGUUAACUACAGUAACUACAUUACUAUAGUUAACUACAGUAAUGUAGUAAACUACAGUAACUACAUUACUAUAGUUAACUACAGUAACAACAUUACAGUUGUUACCUACAGUGAUGUAGUUAACUACAUUACUGUAGUUAAUGUAGUUAACUACAGCACAUUACUGUAGUUAAUGUAGUUAACUACAGUAAUGUAGUUAACUACAUCACUGCAGGUAUCUACUGUAAUGUAGUUACUGUAGUUAACUAUACUAAUGUAGUUACUGUAGUUAACUAUGGUUAUGUUGGUACUGUAGUUAACUACAUUACUGUAGUUAACUACAUUAAUGUAGUUAACUACAGUAACUAUGUCACUGUAGUUAUUGUUGCUAACUAAAGUACUGUAGUUAACUACAGUAAUGUAGGUAACUACAGUACCUACAUUACUAUAGUUAACUACAGUAAUGUAGUUAACUACAGUAACUACAUUACCAUAGUUAACUACAGUAACUACAUUACAGUAGUUAACUACAGUGAUGUAGUUAACUACAUUACUGUAGUUAACCACAUUAACUACAGUAAUAUAGUUUGUGGGUCCAAAAGUGUUGAAUUGUUGACUUUCAGUUGUAAUACAACACAGUCCUAUGAAUUAUUAUUACAGUUCUACAUAUUGUAGUUAUGAAUCAGUUCUGUGUGAGCUGCAUAGUGAAACAGCCUGUUGCCUUUCAUCAUUCCAAACGCAUGCAGAGCCUUGGCAAGGUGUGAGUUGAUUUCUAAUCAUAAAACAUAGAUAGAGCUCAGGCUGUGAUGAUGGAAAUAAAGUGUACUUAUCAGGUAAUUAGCGCCCUCCUCCAACAUCCAUAGCAACCAAACUCAUGAAUCACCUAAAGGCCUCUUUUGAAAAAUGAAAAGAGCAAUACAAAACAUUUCACAUGCUCCUAUUUUGCAAUACUCUGCCCUCACGACUGAAUGACAAUAAAAAUAAAAAGCUGUGUGCAUAAUCUGCGGCGUCUCCUUUCCAUCUGGCUUUUCAAGCCGCCUUGACACCCCGCCUGUGUAUCAAUGACACCCACCAUUUGCAACCUUACACCCAAACGUAACCAAGUGAGCACUUACAAUGCGAAAAUAACCGCUUGAUUUAUAGAGCCGCUUGAGACUCGCACUCAGCCGCUGGGAGCUCUGAUUGAAUUUUGGUCUCGAAUGAGACGCGGACAAUAAAAAUGACAAAUAGGUCUUCUUCGAGGGAGGGUGCGCUAAGGUGGGAGAUGUUACCUUUUGGCGGUCAGUGUCCCUGCCUUCAUGUUUCUCUUGCUGCAUCACAUUACUAUCCCGUCAUCCUGUGAUUCGGAUUUGAAGCAGCUGACCAAUUUGUAUUUGGUUAUACAUUUAGACAUUUUUUUUGAGAUAAAGCACGUGUUGAGAAAGAUAGGAAAUAUGAUUUGUCACGGAUCAUAUCUCAACAAAAUCAGCUUGUUACGUCUUGUUUUGCCAAACCGAGGCAUUUCCUGUCGUCUACUGCCAGCAUUUUGGGGGACUGAAGUCAUCUACUUUAGCACCACUCUUAGCUGCUUUAAAGUAAUGUACAGCAAUGUUUAUUUACUCAAUUGCAGAGAGUAUCAGGCAUCCGCCCCCCAAUAUAUUUUAUGAGAUUCCAUAGUUUCUGCAGGUAUCAGUAAGGUUGAUUCGAUGCUUUUUAAUUCCUUUUUUAAUGCAAUCUAAAACAAAUGUACAACACUUAAGACCUUCCGUUUAUCAGUAUGUGGAAAUAAACUAUAGAAUGGAUUAAGCAAAGAAAUCAAAUAAUGUACUGUACUAAUAUGAUCCACUUCAGGAAACUCUUCAAACUUAAAAGUGUUUACAAAGUUCAAAGAAGAAGAACCAUGAUAAAAAUUCUGAAUUUAUUUCAUACAUCCAUUCAUUUUCUAGAUAAUCUUACUCAUCUCACCAUAUGAAAUAUAACUAACUUCACCAAUUAUUAUUUAUUUAUUUUAUUGUUAUUACAUAUGGAAUAUAUUGUGAAUACAUUGAGAACAGGAAGUGAACAAAAGCUUUAGCAAUUGCUAUGUAGAGCAGGGGUGUCAAACUCAAAUACAGAGUGGGCCAAAAAUUAAAACUGAACAAAGCCGCGGGCCAAGGUUGAACAAAUUAACCUUUUAAUAGGGACCCAAACAAGUUUUGCAUUGAAUAUUGAACAAGCAAAGCUUAUAUAACUUUAUAGUGACAUGUAAAAUAAUAUUUCAAAUAAAAAUAAUUAAAAAAUAUCAAUGGCAUAUAAAAUAAAAUGUAAAUAAAAAAAUGAAUGCCUCUUUUCUAUUUGCAACCUUCUGAGGUGAAUAUCAAAACAAACUUUUUUACAAGCUAAAAAUACAUUUGAAAAUAAAAUAACUAAUGAAUGAAUCAAACAUUCAAGCCUUGAAGUAGCAAGAGAAACUGCAAACGUUAAUUAUUGCUCAGUUUGCUACACUGAUUUGCUUUAACACUGAAUAUGGAACAAGCAAGGCUUAUAUAACUUCCAUCCAUCCAUUUUCUACCGCUUAUUCCCUUUCGGGGUCGCGGGGGGCGCUGGCGCCUAUCUCAGCUACAAUCGGGCAGAAGGCAGGGUACACCCUGGACAAGUCGCCGCCUCAUCGCAGAGCCAACACAGAUAGACAGACAACAUUCACACUCACAUUCACACACUAGGGCCAAUUUAGUGUUGCCAAUUAACCUAUCCCCAGGUGCAUGUCUUUGGAAGUGGGAGGAAGCCGGAGUACCCGGAGGGAACCCACGCAUUCUCGGGGAGAACAUGCAAACUCCACACAGAAAGAUCCCGAGCCUGGAUUUGAACCCAGGACUGCAGGACCUUCGUAUUGUGAGGCAGACGCACUAACCCCUCUGCCACCGUGAAGCCCCCUUAUAUAACUUAAUAGUGCAAAAUCUUAAUAGUGGUGGUAGCGUAGGGUGUAUAUUGUAGCAUCCCGGAAGAGUUAGUGCUGCAAGGGCUUCUGGGUAUUUAUUUUGUUGUGUUUAUGUUGUCUUUCGGUGCGGAUGUUCUCCCGAAAUGUGUUUGUCAUUCUUGUUUGGUGUGGGUUGACAGUGUGGCGCAUAUUUUUAACAGUGUUAAAGUUGUUUAUACGGCCACCCUCAGUGUGACCUGUAUGGUUCUUGACCAAGUAUGCUUUGCAUUCACUCAUGUGUGUGUUUAAAAGCCGCAUAUAUUAUGUGACUAGGCCGGCACACUGAUUGAAUGGCGUAAAAGCGGACGUGACGACAGGUUGUAGAGAAUGCUUUAAGGCAGUGCCUUUAAGGAACGACCCCCGAUAUUGUUGUCCGGGUGGAAAUCAGUAGAAAUUCGGGAGUGUGGUUGCCCCGGGAGUCUACCGGGAAUAUUUGGAGGGUGGGCAAGUAUGAGUAUUAGCGGUGAAUGCGGUGUUACACCGGCACCGCCACUGUAUAAUACCGGCGGGCCAGCACUAAUAUUAAUUUGAUAUUGCCUCAAGGGCCAAAUUAAAUUACACGGCGGGCCAGGGUUUGACACCCAUGAUGUAGAGGAAAAGGGGUAUGAUUAAAUAAGCUCUGCUUCUUCCUACUCCUUUUCGAACAUGUUGAAUAGAGAAACUGGAAAUUGUGAUGUAUCAUGUUGUAUGCAUGCAUGUCCCAAAUAAACUCAAACUCAUGUCCGACUGUAGAUCGUUAUUAUAUCAAGUCAAAAGGAUUGAUUAUACAGACAAAAUUGUAAGCAUCAACUGCGGCCAAAUAAUUCAAUUAUAUAAGAUAUAAUUACAACAAUGCAAGUCCCCCUUACUAACGACAUUAAUAUAUUUUUCACCGGCACUAUUGUAAUUGUAAAAGUGCAGUUUUUGGAAAUUUACCGAAAGACAAUUUUAAAGAACUGGGUUGGGUGGUUUGUUUUGUUGUCUUUUUGUUGCCAAUUGCAAUCUAUGAAGUUUUUUAAUGCCUGUAGAAAUCAUAUGUAAAAUGCCGUUUAAGGCUUUCAUUUGGUGACUUUUUUUUAACUGUUAUUUUUUUCCUGAGGUGCUAGGUUUUUCAAGUGGAGGUGAUUGACUCAUAUUGAUUCCAGUGUUUUUAUUUAUUUAAUUUUUUUAUAGUUUUUGGAAUUUCCAAACAUUGAAGCUCAGUAGCCGUUUUAUAACAAUGUUAUGAAAUAAACAUUGUCUGUUCAUUUUAGUGCAUACACAGGCACUGCACACAAAAAUAAGCGGUGACAUUUGUAUCACAACAACAGCGGUGUCCUGGCUGGUUCACCAUAAUGAUUUAAGAGGUAAAGUGUUUAUGUUUAUUAUUUUUUGUUUGUGUUGUUUUUAUUACACUAUAUUUCUCGUUAGACUACCUGUUGAAGUGUAGUAAUGUUGUGUGACAGUUGUAUUAAAAAAAUAAUACUUUUGUAAUUUCGAAACAUUGUAAAAGUAAAACUCAGAAAAAGUUUUAUAACAUCAUGUUACAAAGUAAACAUUGUCUGGUCAUUUUAGUGCGUACGCAAGCACUGCGCACAAAUAUAAGCGGUGACAUUUGCAUCACAACAACAACAGCUGGACCACCAAUAUGAAAGGGAUUUACAGUUGCCGUGGCGAUGGCGUGUACAAGCCAAAUGAUUUGAAACCUCGUAUUGUAAGUUUUUAAUAUUACACAUUGUCCUUUUAUUAUAGUCACAUAAAAUUUGGCGGAAUUUUGUUUUUUAUGUAUUUAUGUUCUAUUCAUCUAUUUUUAUUGUUCAACAUAGUUUUCCCAGUGUGGAAAGUAGUCACAUCCAUAGGACUUCAUAACACAGUGUUGUAAAUUAUUUGUUGUUUUGGUGUGCAAAAUGUAUUAUUAUAGAGUUUUUAUUUUCCGACUUUCAUUGAAUCAGUUUCCUAUGUCCUUCAUUACAUUUUUUUUUGGUCUUGUUUGUUCUCUGUCCUGUUCAAUAUGACAUGUUACACCACAAAUAUGGAAUUGUAUCUUAUCAUUUCAUGCAUUGUUGUUUUCCUUGCUUAGUGAAAUAAAUGUAUGUAAGCUUGAAUUAUUAAAUCAAUGUCAAAGAUG